GCGGCAGGCCUAACACAUGCAAGUCGAGCGCGCCUUCGGGUGAGCGGCGGACGGGUUAGUAACGCGUGGGAACGUACCCUUCUCUACGGAAUAGCCUUUGGAAACGAAGAGUAAUACCGUAUACGCCCUUUGGGGGAAAGAUUUAUCGGAGAAGGAUCGGCCCGCGUUAGAUUAGAUAGUUGGUGGGGUAACGGCCUACCAAGUCUACGAUCUAUAGCUGGUUUUAGAGGAUGAUCAGCAACACUGGGACUGAGACACGGCCCAGACUCCUACGGGAGGCAGCAGUGGGGAAUCUUAGACAAUGGGCGCAAGCCUGAUCUAGCCAUGCCGCGUGAGUGAUGAAGGCCUUAGGGUCGUAAAGCUCUUUCGCCUGUGAUGAUAAUGACAGUAGCAGGUAAAGAAACCCCGGCUAACUCCGUGCCAGCAGCCGCGGUAAUACGGAGGGGGUUAGCGUUGUUCGGAAUUACUGGGCGUAAAGCGCACGUAGGCGGAUUGGAAAGUUGGGGGUGAAAUCCCGGGGCUCAACCCCGGAACUGCCUCCAAAACUAUCAGUCUAGAGUUCGAGAGAGGUGAGUGGAAUUCCAAGUGUAGAGGUGAAAUUCGUAGAUAUUUGGAGGAACACCAGUGGCGAAGGCGGCUCACUGGCUCGAUACCUGACGCCUGA
rnacentral:rRNA from 1 species